rnacentral:rRNA from 1 species
GAUGAACGCUAGCGGCAGGCCUAACACAUGCAAGUCGAGGGGUAGAGUUCUUCGGAACUUGAGACCGGCGCACGGGUGCGUAACGCGUAUGCAAUCUACCUUAUACAGGGGAAUAGCCCAGAGAAAUUUGGAUUAAUGCCCCAUAGCAUUACGACUUGGCAUCAAGAUGUAAUUAAAGUUCCAACGGUAUAAGAUGAGCAUGCGUCCCAUUAGUUAGUUGGUAAGGUAACGGCUUACCAAGACAAUGAUGGGUAGGGGUCCUGAGAGGGAGAUCCCCCACACGGGUACUGAGACACGGACCAGACUCCUACGGGAGGCAGCAGUGAGGAAUAUUGGUCAAUGGGCGCAAGCCUGAACCAGCCAUGCCGCGUGCAGGAAGACGGUCCUAUGGAUUGUAAACUGCUUUUAUACAGGAAGAAACACCUCCACGUGUGGAGGCUUGACGGUACUGUAGGAAUAAGGAUCGGCUAACUCCGUGCCAGCCGCCGCGGUAACAC